rnacentral:rRNA from 1 species
GACGAACGCUGGCGGCGUGCUUAACACAUGCAAGUCGAACGGUAAGGCCCUUCGGGGUACACGAGUGGCGAACGGGUGAGUAACACGCGGGUGAUCUGCCCUGCACUUCGGGAUAAGCCUGGGAAACUGGGUCUAAUACCGGAUAGGACCCUGGGAUGCAUGUCCUGGGGUGGAAAGCUUUUGCGGUGUGAGAUGGGCCCGCGGCCUAUCAGCUUGUUGGUGGGGUGAUGGCCUACCAAGGCGACGACGGGUAGCCGGCCUGAGAGGGUGACCGGCCACACUGGGACUGAGAUACGGCCCAGACGCCUACGGGAGGCAGCAGUGGGGAAUAUUGCACAAUGGGCGCAAGCCUGAUGCAGCGACGCCGCGUGAGGGAUGACGGCCUUCGGGUUGUAAACCUCUUUCAGCACCGACGAAGCGCAAGUGACGGUAGGUGCAGAAGAAGGACCGGCCAACUACGUGCCAGCCGCCGCGGUAA